UUCGCCACGAUUCUAGAUUGUUCGAACUCCUCUCUCUAUUCUUGUUUUCUCUCCUUUUUAGAUCUCAAACCAUAAUUCCCUAAUCCUUCUCGCUCCUCUUUGAAAUCAAGAAUUAGGGAGGAAUUUUGGCAAAGUUAAAUCAAGAGGAAGAGAAGGGUGAGGAUGUUCGACAUUCAGAAAUGACCAAGGUUUGAUUUUUUUGGUUCAGCUCCUCUUACAGCGGUUCAGUUGCUUUGGGUGGACAUGAUUAUAUAUAUGGACACCUUAGCAGCCUUAGCACUAGCCACUGAACCACCUAAUGAUGAACUAAUGAAGCGGCCACCUGUUGGCAGAGACGCCUAUUUUAUAACCAACAGUAUGUGGAGAAACAUCAUCAGUCACAGCAUCUACCAAUUGGUAGCUCUUGGAGUUCUCCAAUUCGACGGAAAACACCUUCAUUUCAUACCUUUGUGUUCUGUCAGAGGUUGUUGUGGUGUCAUGAGGAGCAGGUUUUGAAUCAAUCUGAUGGUGAUGAUGUUUUUAGGGUGUGACAAUGAUGAAGAAGCUAUUGCAAGGAUGGAGGAAUCACCAUCAGGCAAAAGGGUGACAAGCAUCUUUCUUUAGUUUAGAUUUAUAAUUCUUACCUGUUUUUCACGGAACUUUUUGUAGAAUACUAAUUAUGGUGUCGUAAAGGCAUAUGAGAUUUUUUUUGCAAUUAUUAGCUAGUUGUUUAUACUUGUGUCAUGGCAUAUUAAUUUUUUAUUUGAUUAAUAAAAUUUCACUUUAUAUCCUUUUUA